GGAUUUUUGAGCUAUAAUUUCUUUUCCUCGAAGCUUGAAAGUUUGAUUAGAAGUUGGUGGAUUUGAGAUGGUGCUUGGAGAUUGAAAUCCUUACAAGGCUAUAGGAAUUGCGGAUUGGUAGUUGAACUGUUACUGUAGGGUUAGUAUUUUGGGUUUGCUGGUUUUGCUGGAUUGUGUUAGUUGAGGUCACAAAAAGGUGAACUGCAAUUGCUCUAAUUGGAUUCGAGCUAAAUCAUGGAGCAUGUAAUUGGUGGGAAGUUUAAGUUGGGCCGGAAGAUUGGAAGCGGAUCCUUUGGUGAACUGUAUUUGGGUACUAAUGUGCAAACUGAGGAGGAAGUGGCUGUUAAGCUGGAAUCUGUGAAAACCAAGCAUCCUCAGCUUCACUAUGAAUCAAAACUGUACAUGCUUCUUCAAGGAGGAACUGGUAUUCCUCAUCUCAAAUGGUUUGGAGUUGAGGGUGAGUAUAAUGUUAUGGUUAUCGACCUCCUUGGGCCAAGCCUUGAAGAUCUGUUCAACUACUGUAAUCGGAAACUGUCUUUGAAAACAGUAUUAAUGCUUGCUGAUCAGUUAAU
rnacentral:misc_RNA from 1 species